rnacentral:rRNA from 1 species
AGCAGCCGCGGUAAUUCCAGCUCCAAUAGCGUAUAUUUAAGUUGUUGCAGUUAAAAAGCUCGUAGUUGAAUUUCGGGGUUAGUAGGUUGGUCAUGCCUCUGGUAUGUACUGGUCUCACUGAUUCCUCCUUCCUGAUGAGCCGUAAUGCCAUUAAUUUGGUGUUGCGGGGAAUUUGGACUGUUACUUUGAAAAAAUUAGAGUGUUUAAAGCAGGCUCACGCUUGAAUACAUUAGCAUGGAAUAAUGAAAUAGGACGUUUGAUUCUAUUUUGUUGGUUUCUAGGAUCGAUGUAAUGAUUAAUAGGGAUAGUUGGGGGCAUUAGUAUUCAAUUGUCAGAGGUGAAAUUCUUGGAUUUAUUGAAGACUAACUACUGCGAAAGCAUUUGCCAAGGAUGUUUUCAUUAAUCAAGAACGAAAGUUAGGGGAUCGAAGACGAUCAGAUACCGUCGUAGUCUUAACCAUAAACUGUGCCGACUAGGGAUCGGAUGAUGUUAAUUUUUUAAUGACUCAUUCGGCGCCUUA